GAAAUGCGAUACGUGGUGUGAAUUGCAGAAUCCCGUGAACCAUCGAGUCUUUGAACGCAAGUUGCGCCCGAGGGACCCUCCCGAGGGCACGCCUGCCUCAUGGGCGUUAGAAGCCCAUUCACGCUCGGUUGCCUCACGGCAAAGAUGCGGACAUUGGCCCUCCGAACCUCGAGGUGCGGUGGGCCUAAGUGUGCGGCCGUCGUAUGUGGCCGGGAGCGGCGAGUGGUGGGCUACUGCGCACGUCGCCCCGCGCCCUUACCGACACAGGGCCUUUUUUGACCCCUAACGAGGAGCUUGCCGUUGUGGCUUGCGCCGCGCGGCGCCUUCGGACCGAUACCCCAGGUCAGGCGGGGCUACCCGCUGAGUUUAA
rnacentral:misc_RNA from 1 species